rnacentral:lncRNA from 1 species
AUGAACGGCAGAACACCAGGCUUCCCUGUCCUUCACUGUCUCCAGGAAUUGCUCAAAUUCAUGCUCAUUGAGUCGGUGAUGCCAUCCAGCCAUCUCAUCCUCUGUCGUCCCCUUCUCCUCCUGCCUUCAGUCUUUCCCAGCAUCAGGGUCUUUUCCAGUGAGUCAGCUCUUUGCAUCAGGGGGCCAAAGAAUUGGCGCUUCAGCUUCAGCAUCAGUCCUUCCAAGGACUAUUCAGGGUUGAUCUCCUUUAGGAUGGACUGGUUGGAUCUCCUUGCAGUCCAAGGGACUCUCAAGAGUCUUCUUCACAGUUCAAAAGCAUCAAUUCUUCAGCGCUCAGCUUUCUUUAUGGUCCGACUCUCACAUUCACACAUGACCACUGGAAAAACCAGAGCUUUGACUAGACAGACCUUUGUCGGCAAAGUGGUAUCUCUGCUUUUCACACGCUGUCUGGGUGGGUCACGUCUAGGUUUAUGGACGAUCUUUAGUGGAGGCGCACUCGGCUCCAGCCAAGUAGGGCUUGAGCCAAACGAGGCUGGGCUGCCUCUUCUUCCCUCGAGGAGGCUCGGCUCCCCCCCCGCCGUUCACCCCCCCCCCCCGGGGGGGGGCCCCGGCCCCCCCCCGCCGCCGUCGCACGAUAUCACCCGACUCCCGACUUGGCUCACGGGCUGCUCCGCUAUCAGAUCAAUGGCGAAGUUCUCGUUCACCUGGAACAAGACAGACAGCAGCGCUCGCAGACAGGUACCAACCCCCAACACGCUCGCGGAAUUCCAGUGUAGACCACCCCCACAGGCACGCACUGCGCGGCCAGCAAAGACGCUCUGCGCCUUCUCAUUUAAACAUCUACGCAGAUCUUCAAAACACAGAUAAUUACAUACAUGCACACACGUGUUUAACUCUUCACUGGCAUGUAACGACUCACCCACUGUUCACAUCCUGCCCCACCCUCUUCUCUUCACACAUAGGUGCAAGCGCGCACACACACACACAGAGCUGAGCACACACACACACACACAGAGCUGACCACACACACACACACACACAGACAGCUGACCACAUAUACACACACGCACGCACACACGCCCUCCUCCUCCUAUCUUCGACCUCACGGCCACUUCAAUACGGGGACCUGGCUCUGAGCUAACAGCUGGUUUGGCCCCGAGCAGGAAGUGGGACACUGAGCCCUUGGCUCAGGCCAAGGGCUGCUCCACAGGGGUGCCAGGGGCGUAGGGGACAGGAGGGACGAUGGCAUGGUAACUGCAAAGCACAGCGGCACAGCUGGGCCCAGAGCUGCUCCAAGCCCACUGGUUUUCUUACUGGAAGGAAUCAAUUUGUGAUUUUUAAGCUGGUGGAGAAACGGCAGGGAGGCAUCUCUCCUCUCUCCUGGGGGGCCAGCGUCUCUUCAUGCAGGACUCAGCCGGGAGAGCACCAUCUGAGCUGACAGACCGGGACCUGCUCACCCGCGGCAGCCAGAACCAGAGCCAGACUCACCAGGCUCAGCCCAGGGGAAGCCCCGCAGAGCGGGCAGCAGCCUGCCCAGCCCCUAGACUCAGAUCGGAUCUGAGGGAGCGGCUGUGUCCCGCCCCAGCUGACACACUCAGGGUCGAACACUGCCAGACCACCACUUGAAGGCCACCCAUCUCUGAGGUCCAAGGGUCACGGGGUCACACAGUCAGCGGUGGGGUGCCCUCUCCCUUCCCAGACGUCCCUGGACACAAGUACACAGAAGAGACCCUCAGCUGUAAACGCAGCCCACAGCAACUGCGAUCCCGGCCCUGGGAGUAACCGAGUGUCUGUUUAUCGCAAUGGUGACAGGUGCCUGGCCUGGGGUCCCCGAGGCUCCCUGCCCUGCACACAGAACCCCAGCCGCACCCCAGGGCCCAGGACUGCAGUGAGAAGGGAGCGACGGCCCGUCUUUACAGGUGAAGGGGGACGGGCGCCAAGUUUCGGUAUUAAAAUCUGAGCCGGGGAAGAGCACAGGCCUCCCGGUCCAGGAGCCGGGGGGAAGUGCAGAGCCCGCCCACCUGCGGCCACCACGACACUGAGCCCCCAGAGGAGGGGGACACUCCUGACUCGGGAAAGCGCUGUCGGCCUGGGCUGGGGCUUGCCUGAAGCCCCCCCAGGCUCCUCCUUCCAGAAAGGGCGCGAGGAGGAGGAAGUGCAGCCGGGCCACAGCACACGUGACGCGCUGUCCCACUGCCUCCUGUGCCCCGGGCCCAGCACCCCUGCACCCUGGAAACAGGGUCCCCCAACGGCCACGCUAACCACCUCCUGGGCCCAGCACACCCGCUGCCUGUCGGGCCGUGACGGCCGUCACUCACGGGCAGGAAGCACUGGCUUCCGACUCCACGUGCGACCACAGAGCAGUGCAAACAGCUGUCGCCACGGGGGAAGCUGGCCACGCGGGCCCUCUGCCUCCCUGAGGUGACCCAGGACCACAGCAGGCCCCACUCCAUCCUCGCCUCUCCAGGAGGCCUGUCCCAGGCCAAGGGCCGGGGACUGCUGUGCAGACUCGCUGUGGCCACACGGCUGCCAAAAAGCCACGCACGGACACAGCCCGCCUUCCCGUGAAGGCGGCGCUACAGCCCAGUUCCUGCUCUCCGCGGCCCUCAGCCUGAAGUGCAGAUCCGCUUCAUUUCUCAAAAUACAACCAAACUUGGAGACAGUGAGUUGGGGGGUUGUCGGGGACUGUUGAGGGGUGGGGGUGAAGAGGCGGUGCACAGGAGGGGUGGGGGGGCUCAGGCUGGGGCAGUGAAAUACUCUGAGAGACACUGCAGUUUGGAUGUAAGACAUUAUGCGUUUGUCCAGACCCACAGGGCGUACUUCCCUGCUGGCUCAGCGGGUAAAGAAUCCACCUGCCAAUCCCUGGGUUGGGAAGAUCCCGCCGAGAAGGAAAUGGCUACCCGCUCCAGUGUUCUUGCCUGGAAAAUCCCAUGGACAGAGUCGCCUGGGGGCUGCAGUCCACGGGGUCGCAGAGUUGGACCUGACUGAGCAAUAAGCCCAAGCCCAGCAGAAAGUGAAGUCGCUCAGUCGUGUCCGACUCUUUGCGACCCCGUGGACUGCAGCCCACCGGGCUCCUCCAUCCAUGGGACUUUCCCGGCAAGAACACUGGAGUGGGGUGCCAUCUCCUUCUCCUGGAGAUUUUCCUGACCCAGGGAGUGAACCCGGGUCUCCCACAUUGUAGGCAGACGCUUUACCGCCCAAGCCACAGGGAAGCUUCCUAAGCCCAACACAAAGAGUGAACCCAGAAGAAGCCUAAGACACAGACUUGAGAGAAUCCCAAGGUUCCAGCACUCUGCAUGUACGCUAACACAGGGAGCAGGGUCAGCCGAGAGGAGAGCAACAGGGGCCCUGCUGGGGGGUGGACGGUAGUGGGAACUCAGUGCUCUCUGUGCGGCCUUUCAAUAAACCCAGAUCUUUCAAAACAAGUCUCUUGGACACCAGAAAAAGAGAUUUAAACCCUACUACACACCAGAUUUUUCUUGCAAGAACGAAGCCUGAGAGACUUGCUGCAGAUCUUACAUGGCCCCUGGACACUGUGGACCUUGGACAGGAACAGGCCCCGAGUCCCCAGGUGGGGCCCACAGCUCCCGCGCCUGCACGAGGAUUCUCUACCAUGGCCGCCUGGCAAGCCCUUCCUUCACCACACCUUUUCCUUACCUCUUUCUGACGACCCACAAAUCGAACUCUCCUGUAGUCUUCAUCGUCAUAAACCUGAAAAGAAAAGGGGUGCUAUUUACAACCCACCUCUGCACCUCUGUACCAAUCACAGGCAUUACAGGAAAAGGGUUUUCUUCAUGUCAGGCCGUGCAUAUGGCCACACACUGAGGAGUUUCAGCGGGAUUCCUAACAUGACCACAGGCAGCAGUCCAAACGGGAAGAACCAGAGGAGAGAGGUCCCAGCGGAGGCGCACACGCUGACCUUGCAUCUGACAGGCCGCAGCACCCUUCCCCCCUGAACCUGCGGGGUGAGCUUCCACCUCACAAGUACUUACUCCCUCGUCUUUGGAAUUAGGGUCCUACCUAAGGCUGUGCUUCAGCAGACAGCAGACCCUCGAGUUGUUAAGCAUGCUAUUUAACGGUACACAGACGUUAGAAGAUUUGACCCACGCGAUCUGCGGUUUCUGACCCCGACGGAGGCUUCCCACAGUAACCAAGGGGCGCCCCGGGCUGUCGGCCUCGUUUCGGAGCUCGCCGAGGCUCUGACGGUGAGCCCACAGCGGCUGCGAACACCACGCGCCCCAGCCCGGCUCACGCCUCAGCCCCUGGGGGCCCAACCCUGCGGAUCCAGGACCCGGGGACCCAGGGGGCCGCGACAGCAAAGGCUGCUCCAAGGACACGGGGGCCCACGGCCCCCAGCGGGGCUGGACCGUGGGCCGCGGGAACCGGGGGCUGCGCCGCUGGCGACGGGCCCGCGAGCACCCGGACGCCCGGCCGCGGGACCUGGGGGCCGGGCCGGG